UCCCACCUGACCCCAUGCCGAACUCAGAAGUGAA
rnacentral:rRNA from 1 species